rnacentral:ncRNA from 5 species
UGUCUGCAGACGUGUCGGGCUUAAUAUUUCCUUGUUCCAAUGCUCUCCGGAGCCGGGCUUGGUACAUCGCUAGACGGGCGUGAUCAUCUCGCGUCAGAUGAACCCGAAGUCUUGCUGCCCUCGCCCACCUGAACCCUGGUUCAGGAUGCGGGUCCGGCACACCAUCUGCAGACAC